GAAAAAGUAACUCAGAUGGUAGAGUGUUGGUUUGUCAUAUCAGUGGCCGCGGGUUCGAAUCCCGUCUUUUUCG
rnacentral:tRNA from 1 species